ACCUGGCUGGCUCAGUCGGAAGAGCAUGAGAUUCUCAAGCUCAGGGUCAUGAGUUCGAGCCCCAUGUUAGGUG
rfam:Canis lupus familiaris chromosome 14, whole genome shotgun sequence.